UUUCCGUAGGUGAACCUGCGGAAGGAUCAUUACAGAGUUCAAACCCUCAAGAUUACACCUCCCACCCUUGUGUAUUAUUACUUUGUGGCUCUGCCGAGCGGCCGCUCGCCAGCGGAGACCAAAACUCUUUUUAUUACUGUCGCCUGAGUACUACAUAAUAGUCUAUACGAUCAACAACGGCUCUCUUGGUUCUGACAUCAAUGAAGAACGCAGCAGACCGGACUAGCACAUGUCUCAACUCCAGUCACGCAUACACACCUCGUAAGCCCUCUUCUGAUU
rnacentral:misc_RNA from 1 species